rnacentral:misc_RNA from 1 species
CAUCGGCGCGGUGGUUCACCGAACCCCGCUAAAUAGACCCUCGGUGAAAAGUCGUCCGAUGCAAUCUUGAGCGACCAUCGUGCCUGCGAAUGUUCUUGCCUCCGAGAGGGGGCAGCGCACGCGGUGCCGAUGUCGUACGAGAACGCUACCUG